GACAAGCUGGUGAGCAGACAGCAGGGAAGAGAGUGGAGCGGGGAGCUGGCAGAGAGGAGCGGACAGCAGGAUGGCUUGUGGAGAGGUGCAGAGAGCAGAGUGGAUUGGAUAGCAGGGCAGCUGGCAGAAAGGAGUGGCCAGCAUGAUGGCUAGCGGAGAGGUGCGGAAAGGAGCAGGUAGCAGGGCAGCUGGCGGAGAGGAGCGGCCAGCAGGACAGCUGGCGGAGAGGUGCAGCUGGUGGUGAAGACUGCAGCAGAACCCCCAUGGAGAGGUGUGGCACUCGGCUGUCAACCUGAGCAGCGGAGCAUAAACAUUCUGCAAGUAAAUGGAUCAGUUCAUGUAUCAGAUCCACAAGAGCUUUAGCAGCUAAGAUUCCCCUGAUAUCCUGGGUCUCAAAACCAGUUUCAAUCACUCUCCAUCUUUCCCUUGCUAGAACGGUACCACAGCAUGUAGCUGAUAUAAUGGUUUCUUCCUGAGGGGGCAGGACAAUUCCUUAAUUGCAAACCAGUUGCCUACAAACCAUGUGUCUCACCUGGGCCAUAUCUUUAAAGGGAAUUUCCACAGACUGAAUUUGUAAGACACCUAUCCUGGCACUGAAUUCGCAGUUAUUAGCCAUAAUGAAAUCCAAGCCAAUUAUUAGCUCAUCCACUAUUUCAGCAACCCAGACUUCUUACUCAAAUUUUAGAGGUCCAAUCUUCAGACACAAUUGUCUCUGUUUCUGGACAGUUGGCCCUGCCCUAGUCACUGUCUCCAUUUCAGACGAAUUAGGCAGUUCAGGUUUGGAUCCCCUGUUCCCUGUCCUUUUUCGCCCGUAUGGUCUAAUAAAAAAUUAUGUUUGAGCCUGUGUUAACUAUCCCCUAUACACAUCACAGAUCUUAUUACAAACUCAAUAGCCCAACUCCAUUCUUGUUGUUUAACUGCCCAGAUCUAAACAAAAACUGUGGAGUUAAUGCUUGUACCUCCAAAUUUUGCCCCUUCAGCUUCCCCCAUUUCCCAAACUGAGAGAGAGGCUUUCACUAGACACCUGUGAUAAGCAGCCUUGGCCUACCUUUAAUUUAUAACAGUCCUUCUUUUUGUGGCCAGUUUUAUUACUGUGCCAGCAUUUAUCUGAACUGUCUCCUUUAAUUUUUGCAUUUUUACCAAUUUUCCUGGUUUUAAAAACCAAAUUUAUCAUCUGUUCUAAUAGUUCAAAAUGGUCAUGAACCAGAUUAGUCUCCCCAUUAGGAACCAGGGCAUAGGCGGUCAGACCUAGUGGUCAGAGCAGGAGCUGGUAUUGGGAGGUAAGCCUGAGGUGCUGCCCUGUCUAGCUCCUUUGGUGGUGAGAAGGGAGCGUUAAAGACCCAGAGCCCCCGCCGCCCUGGGUUCAAGAUAUUCCAAAACCGAGGACUUGUCCCCAUUGAUCCCUACACCCCCAUUUCAUCAUACAUAUUAGACACAGAACUGUACUUACAGGGCUUAUGGCAAUCAGCUUCCCUCUUCUUCAGUAGUAGUUGCUUCCUGUUCUGGUGAACUACUACAGGGAAAGAUUUAAGUACUUGGUGGCAAACCGAGCCUCUCAAAGCAUCUGUGGCCUCCUUUUGCUGAUCUAGAUUUGCAAGACACUUAUCGUAGUCCAGCUGUGCAUCUAUCAAUUGGUCCAUUGCCAGUCUAUCCUAGAACACCUCAUGAUAUCCAGGAACACAAGUCUCUGCAGGUCCUCUGCCAGUUCAGGUGAGGUUUCUUCUUUCCCUGUCCUUCUAGCUCUAAACUGUGCCCUGGCCAGCUCAGAUUGAUAGUUAGCUCCAUACUGCAUGUGAAGGGCUUGUACAUGGUCUGGAUAACUCCAUCCUCUUCUGUGGGGAUAAGUUCUCCAGAGCUGAGCCACCCAAGUUGACUGCUAGUAACCCCUCUGUCUAUCUUCCCAGCCAUUGAUUUGAGCUGUAACAUUGCAUUGAGCCAAAUAAGCCUGCCAGGGAGAAUUUCCCUAAAUGUAUCAAGCUUUUGCAUUAUUUGAGCUGGGACGACCUGACCUCUUCCCUCUGGGCCUCUGUGGGUUAUAAAUAGGGUAGAAAAGGGUCAUAAAUGUCCAGUCUUACCCUUGUUCUCUGCCUGGCUCAAUUCUUCAUCCAAGUGGCUGCCUUCCACUGUGAUUUGCUUCUGGAGCUGAAUUUCCAGCUCCUUAACUGCUUGCUACAGUUCAUCUCUGUUACCAAGUUCCAAGGUGGCUAAACCUUACUUGGUUCCCAUGACUUCAUAGAAAAACUUUUCGCCUAUGGCAGGUCAAUGUCUUGCCAUUCCAGCCUGGGAGCUUUCCAGCUGGGCUUCCUAACCUGUCCAGAUUCUUUGUAGUUGUUGCUCCAACAGAGAUUCGAUGUUCAUCUGUAAUUCAACCCUCAGCCCUUUCUGGGAAUCCUACAGAUGCUGCUUUAAUUCCUUUUGUGAAGCCUCCAGCUUCUGUUUCAGGUCUUGUUUUAAAUACUGCUGGCUAUUUUUUUUCAUUUCUGCAAACACCUCCAUUGUGUGUUCCAGCCUGGUUCAACAGGAAUACUCUCUAUCUCUGUAAAAUUGAUCCUGCACCUGACACCAGUGUUGCCCCCUUUUUGACCUGAGCAGCUAGUUAAAGUUCAGGGGCCUUGGAGAUGUUCCAGAUGGAAGUAGAAAUUGAUGGAAUAUGGUAUUUCUUUAAUGCAGCCUUGUUUAUUUACAAGGAAUGUACAAAGUCCUGUAUCUCUGAAUGCAGAAGGAACCAAGAACAAAAAGGGGCAGUUCCUUAGCUUACAGCCCAAAAAGGCUCCUUAGCCAACACCAGACCCAAAAAGUCUCUCUAGCUUUUCCCAGAGUCACACUGUGUUGAUAGACUCCUGCCUGACUUUCUUGCCUCUCCCUCUCUCUGUUCUUUUUUAUUCUUAGGCCUUGUCUACCUGACAGUUUUGUCAGCAAAAGUCAGCUUUUGUCAACAAAACAAUGGGAAUGUACAUGCUACAAUGCUCCUCCAGCCAGUUUAACUUUCCUGCUAUGUCGACAAAAUAAAACCACCUCAAUGAGAGGCAUAGGGCUUUUUGCAACAAAGUUAGUUUGAUGCAGUAUCACUGUGCUUGCUUAUGUUGCCCUAACUGGCCUCCAGGAGGUGUCCCACAAUGCCCAUCAUGACUGCUCUGGUCAGCAAUUUGAACUCCGCCGCCCUGAAGGUACACAGGCAUGCAUCCCUCCCUCAUUUAAAGGCCCAGGAAUUUUUGAAAUUCCUCUUCCCGCUUGCUCAGCAUCGACAGUUCACACAGCAUCUUCCCAGCUGAACAUGCUGGAUUUCCACAACAGAUGUGCUCCCGUAUGGAGUACACUGGAGCUGUUGGAUCUGCUGGGUCGGUGGGGAGAGGAGGCUGUGCAGUUGCAGCUCUGCUCCAGCCAUAGGAACUUUCACACCUACGGGCUAAUAGCUAGUGGGAUGCAGGAGAAGGGGCACAAAAGGGACACACAGCACUGCCAUGCUAAGAUCAAGGAGCUGCAGCAGGCAUAACAGAAGGCAAGGGAGGCCAACCGUCACUCAGGUGCAGUGCUGAAGACAUGUCGCUUCUACAAGGAGCUGCACGCCAUCCUCAGCAGUGACCCCACCUCAACCACCAAGAGCUCCGUGGAUACUUCGGGGGGUCUGGAGGCAGCAGCCAGCAGAAUCAACGCUGAUGAUGAAGUGAAGUGGAGUUGGAAGAGGAUGUGGAACACACAACACGGUCAUCCGGGGACAUGAUGCGCCCUAGAGGGCCUACUCCUCCACACUGGUGCACCACCUCUAUCAGAUAAGGCGGCUAACCAGACGGAGUAAGGAAGAUAUGUUUCGCGAAGUGCCGGAGUCAAUAUAUGCAGCACAUAGCAAAACAAGAAUGUAGAGGGAGACAAUCAAUGAAUGACUCAGGCUGGAUAGCUUAGAAAGGACACAGGGGCAGGAGCAGAUGAUACAGCUGCUGGAGGGCCAUGCAGAGGUGUUCAAGUCCUUCAUUACACUGCAGUCUGAGCACAUCUAUACACAACUCCCCCUGCAGCCAACACAGAACUCUGUUCCAUGUGUGACGGUGUCCCCCAUGAGGCUUUACGGAAAUGAAUGUAUAUAUGACAUAACUGGAAUAUGUUUUAUGCCACCAUAUACCAUGUAACAUAUCUCUGAAAAGGUUAUGAUCUACUGAAUCUAUUCAUCCUAUUUGUAUGCAUGUGUCAUUAUCAUAUUCAAAGUUAUGAAUAUUGGCUGUAUACUUGUUUGAUUUUAAAUAACCUUAGUAAAGCAUUUAGUCAGCUUCUUCAGAAAAUAAUUUGCAAGUUAAGUGCCCAAUCAAGAAGCACUUAACACACAAUGGAUCUUGGAAGGCUCCAAUCCACAUAAGAAGUCUACCUGAGGGUGUUCAAGGUAGCAAUGGCUGCUGCCUGUAAAAUCUGAGUCAUGCAUGGACACGUGACUCCAAAACUCCAUCUUGUAGCUGGACUUUACAUAGAGAGGAGGGGGUCUCCACCCACAAGAGAAAGUCUAUGUAAGCCCUCCAUUUUGUCUUCAGCUGGCUAAGGAGAGCCUCUCCACCCCCAAGGAUACCUGAAAGAAACUGGAACAAGGACAGUAACUACAGAGGGUGAGAGUGAUUGCUGGACCCAGACUAGAAGGAGAGUAGUCUGUAAAAGGAAGCCUACCUGAAUUCCUCUGAGGGUGAGAUUUUUAUCUGCAUUCAGUUUUCUUACUCUAUUAGCCAUAGACUUGCGUGUUCUAUUUUAUUUCACUUGGUAAUUCAUUUUGUUCUGUCUGUUACUACUUGGAACCACUUAAAUCCUACUUUCUGUAUUUAAUAAAAUCAUUUUACUUAUUAGUUAAACCAGAGUAUGUAUUAAUACCUGGGGGGGCAAACAGCUGUGCAUAUCUCUCUAUCAGUGUUAUAGACAGCGAACAAUUUGAGUUUACCCUGUAUAAGCUGUAUACAGGGUAAAAUGGAUUUAUUUAGGGUUUGGACCUCAUUGGAGUUGAGCAUCUGAGUGUUAAAGACAGGAACACUUCUUAAGCUGCUUUCAGUUUAAGCCUACAGCUGUUAGGGGAUGUGGUUCAGACCUGGGUCUGGCUCAAACCAGGCAGGGCACUGAAGUCCCAAGCUGCCAGGGCAGGAAAGCAAAGACAGAAGUAGUCUUGGCACAGCAGUUGGCAGCCCCAAAGGGGUUUCUGUGAUCGAACCUGUCACACCAUGCUCUUCCCAAAUUCCCCCAUCCCAUUCCUCGCAAGUUCCUGGUCCCUUACAAUACCCCAUGCACUCUACCCAUAUGGCUGGUUUCACAAUGAAAGCUGGAGUUACACACAGCUGAGAGAGCCAUAACCAACAGACUGUUCCUCAUUACCAUGUCUCCUGUUUGACAACAUUUUUGUGUUUUGUCCUGUUAUUAAACAUAGUCUUUG